GGUUAAGCGACUAAGCGUACACGGUGGAUGCCCUGGCAGUCAGAGGCGAUGAAGGACGUGCUAAUCUGCGAUAAGCGUCGGUAAGGUGAUAUGAACCGUUAUAACCGGCGAUUUCCGAAUGGGGAAACCCAGUGUGAUUCGUCACACUAUCAUUAACUGAAUCCAUAGGUUAAUGAGGCGAACCGGGGGAACUGAAACAUCUAAGUACCCCGAGGAAAAGAAAUCAACCGAGAUUCCCCCAGUAGCGGCGAGCGAACGGGGAGCAGCCCAGAGCCUGAAUCAGUGUGUGUGUUAGUGGAAGCGUCUGGAAAGGCGCGCGAUACAGGGUGACAGCCCCGUACACAAAAAUGCACAUGCUGUGAGCUCGAUGAGUAGGGCGGGACACGUGGUAUCCUGUCUGAAUAUGGGGGGACCAUCCUCCAAGGCUAAAUACUCCUGACUGACCGAUAGUGAACCAGUACCGUGAGGGAAAGGCGAAAAGAACCCCGGCGAGGGGAGUGAAAAAGAACCUGAAACCGUGUACGUACAAGCAGUGGGAGCACAGAGCAAUCUGUGUGACUGCGUACCUUUUGUAUAAUGGGUCAGCGACUUAUAUUCUGUAGCAAGGUUAACCGAAUAGGGGAGCCGAAGGGAAACCGAGUCUUAACUGGGCGUUAAGUUGCAGGGUAUAGACCCGAAACCCGGUGAUCUAGCCAUGGGCAGGUUGAAGGUUGGGUAACACUAACUGGAGGACCGAACCGACUAAUGUUGAAAAAUUAGCGGAUGACUUGUGGCUGGGGGUGAAAGGCCAAUCAAACCGGGAGAUAGCUGGUUCUCCCCGAAAGCUAUUUAGGUAGCGCCUCGUGAAUUCAUCUCCGGGGGUAGAGCACUGUUUCGGCAAGGGGGUCAUCCCGACUUACCAACCCGAUGCAAACUGCGAAUACCGGAGAAUGUUAUCACGGGAGACACACGGCGGGUGCUAACGUCCGUCGUGAAGAGGGAAACAACCCAGACCGCCAGCUAAGGUCCCAAAGUCAUGGUUAAGUGGGAAACGAUGUGGGAAGGCCCAGACAGCCAGGAUGUUGGCUUAGAAGCAGCCAUCAUUUAAAGAAAGCGUAAUAGCUCACUGGUCGAGUCGGCCUGCGCGGAAGAUGUAACGGGGCUAAACCAUGCACCGAAGCUGCGGCAGCGACGCUGAUGCGUUGUUGGGUAGGGGAGCGUUCUGUAAGCCUGCGAAGGUGUGCUGUGAGGCAUGCUGGAGGUAUCAGAAGUGCGAAUGCUGACAUAAGUAACGAUAAAGCGGGUGAAAAGCCCGCUCGCCGGAAGACCAAGGGUUCCUGUCCAACGUUAAUCGGGGCAGGGUGAGUCGACCCCUAAGGCGAGGCCGAAAGGCGUAGUCGAUGGGAAACAGGUUAAUAUUCCUGUACUUGGUGUUACUGCGAAGGGGGGACGGAGAAGGCUAUGUUGGCCGGGCGACGGUUGUCCCGGUUUAAGCGUGUAGGCUGGUUUUCCAGGCAAAUCCGGAAAAUCAAGGCUGAGGCGUGAUGACGAGGCACUACGGUGCUGAAGCAACAAAUGCCCUGCUUCCAGGAAAAGCCUCUAAGCAUCAGGUAACAUCAAAUCGUACCCCAAACCGACACAGGUGGUCAGGUAGAGAAUACCAAGGCGCUUGAGAGAACUCGGGUGAAGGAACUAGGCAAAAUGGUGCCGUAACUUCGGGAGAAGGCACGCUGAUAUGUAGGUGAAGUCCCUCGCGGAUGGAGCUGAAAUCAGUCGAAGAUACCAGCUGGCUGCAACUGUUUAUUAAAAACACAGCACUGUGCAAACACGAAAGUGGACGUAUACGGUGUGACGCCUGCCCGGUGCCGGAAGGUUAAUUGAUGGGGUCAGCGCAAGCGAAGCUCUUGAUCGAAGCCCCGGUAAACGGCGGCCGUAACUAUAACGGUCCUAAGGUAGCGAAAUUCCUUGUCGGGUAAGUUCCGACCUGCACGAAUGGCGUAAUGAUGGCCAGGCUGUCUCCACCCGAGACUCAGUGAAAUUGAACUCGCUGUGAAGAUGCAGUGUACCCGCGGCAAGACGGAAAGACCCCGUGAACCUUUACUAUAGCUUGACACUGAACAUUGAGCCUUGAUGUGUAGGAUAGGUGGGAGGCUUUGAAGUGUGGACGCCAGUCUGCAUGGAGCCGGCCUUGAAAUACCACCCUUUAAUGUUUGAUGUUCUAACGUUGACCCGUAAUCCGGGUUGCGGACAGUGUCUGGUGGGUAGUUUGACUGGGGCGGUCUCCUCCUAAAGAGUAACGGAGGAGCACGAAGGUUGGCUAAUCCUGGUCGGACAUCAGGAGGUUAGUGCAAUGGCAUAAGCCAGCUUGACUGCGAGCGUGACGGCGCGAGCAGGUGCGAAAGCAGGUCAUAGUGAUCCGGUGGUUCUGAAUGGAAGGGCCAUCGCUCAACGGAUAAAAGGUACUCCGGGGAUAACAGGCUGAUACCGCCCAAGAGUUCAUAUCGACGGCGGUGUUUGGCACCUCGAUGUCGGCUCAUCACAUCCUGGGGCUGAAGUAGGUCCCAAGGGUAUGGCUGUUCGCCAUUUAAAGUGGUACGCGAGCUGGGUUUAGAACGUCGUGAGACAGUUCGGUCCCUAUCUGCCGUGGGCGCUGGAGAACUGAGGGGGGCUGCUCCUAGUACGAGAGGACCGGAGUGGACGCAUCACUGGUGUUCGGGUUGUCAUGCCAAUGGCACUGCCCGGUAGCUAAAUGCGGAAGAGAUAAGUGCUGAAAGCAUCUAAGCACGAAACUUGCCCCGAGAUGAGUUCUCCCUGACUCCUUGAGAGUCCUGAAGGAACGUUGAAGACGACGACGUUGAUAGGCCGGGUGUGUAAGCGCAGCGAUGCGUUGAGCUAACCGGUACUAAUGAACCGUGAGGCUUAACCUU
rnacentral:rRNA from 1 species